AUUGAACGCUGGCGGCAGGCCUAACACAUGCACGUCGAGCGGAGCGGCGGACGGGUGAGUAAUGCCUAGGAAUCUGCCUUGUAUUGGGGGAUAACGUCCGGACACGGGCGCUAAUACCGCAUACUAUCAGAUGAGCCUCGGUCGGAUUAGCUAGUUGGUGGGUUAAAGGCCUACCAAGGCGACGAUCCGUAACUGGUCUGAGAGGAUGAUCAGUCACACUGGAACAGAGACACGAUACAGACUACGACGGGAGGCAGCAGUGGGGAAUAGUGGACAAUGGGCGAAAGCCUGAUCCAGCCAUGCCGCGUGUGGGAAGAAGGUCGUCGGAUUGUAAAGCACUUUAAGUUGGGAGGCGUUACCAACAGAAGAAGCACCGGCUAACUUCGUGCCAGCAGCCGCGGUAAUAC
rnacentral:rRNA from 1 species